rnacentral:lncRNA from 1 species
CACGGCCCCACUUUUAUCUGUCGACUGACACUGUAUAUAAAGGCAACCGAGAUCUCGAUUCCGGCAUAACACAUCUUUUUGUGCGAAUUUAUUCUUUGUUUUCACUUUAAUCCUCAAAAACCAACCAACAAAUCAAAAAUGGGCGCUGAAAAAGUAACCAUGAACAUCGUUGUCGUCGGACAAGUCCAAUCUGCCAAGGCCAUCAAAUCGAUCGCCAAAGCCACCCCAGCCACCAGCCAAUUGAUGAACUGUUAAUUCAUACAUUCAAUUAAUCACACACUCAAAAAUGCCAUAGCCUAAACAAUACAAUAAUAUGUAAUUCAUAUCAGUAUUGACACCAUAAAAUAAAUCUGUCUUUUCCGAUAUACA